UCCUACGGGGGGCAGCAGUUGGGAAUAUUGCGCAAUGGGCGAAAGCCUGACGCAGCAACGCCGCGUGAGCGAUGAAGGUCUUCGGAUCGUAAAGCUCUUUCGGCCGGGACGAAAACCCAUCACUUCAUACGUGGUGGCUUGACGGUACCGGAAGAAGAAGCACCGGCUAACUCUGUGCCAGCAGCCGCGGUAAUACAGAGGGUGCAAGCGUUGUUCGGAAUUAUUGGGCGUAAAGCGCGUGUAGGCGGUCUGUUAUGUCGGGUGUGAAAGCCCUCAGCUUAACUGAGGAAGUGCGCCCGAAACUGGCAGACUUGAGUACCGGAGAGGAGAGCGGAACACCCGGUGUAGAGGUGAAAUUCGUAGAUAUCGGGUAGAACACCAGUGGCGAAGGCGGCUCUCUGGACGGAUACUGACGCUGAGACGCGAAAGCGUGGGGAGCAAACAGGAUUAGAUACCCUGGUAGA
rnacentral:rRNA from 1 species